rnacentral:lncRNA from 1 species
GAGGAAAAAUAUAAUUAAAAUAAAAAUAUAUUAUUAACCAAAUGCAGCAUAACAUCACUAAAUACUGAUACAUAAAUCACUGACAUGUAAAUAGUAUUAUUAAAUAUUAAAAUCAUUGUGUUAUUUUUUUAAUGAUACUAUAGUAAUACAAAUUACUGACAUAUAAAUAGUAUUAUUAAAUAUUAACACCAUGGUGUCAUUAUUUUGGUGAUACUAUAGUGACAGGAAUUACUGACACAAAAAUCACUGACACUAAAAAUUAGUGUCAGUGUGUUCUGGCUUGAGCAUUACUGACACAAUUAACAAGUGUCAGCAAAAGUAAUUACUGACACUAAAUUGGUGUCAGUAAAACUCAUUUUUCUAGUAGUG